AGCAGCCGCGGUAUACGUAGUGGCAGCGUUGUCCGGAUUUAUUGGGCGUAAAGCGAGUGCAGGCGGCUCGAUAAGUCUGAUGUGAAAGCCUUCGGCUCAACCGGAGAAUUGCAUCAAAACUGUCGAGCUUGAGUACAGAAGAGGAGAGUGGAACUCCAUGUGUACGGUGAAAUGCGUAGAUAUAUGGAAGAACACCGGUGGCGAAGGCGGCUCUCUGGUCUGUUACUGACGCUGAGGCUCGAAAGCAUGGGUAGCGAACAGGAUUAAUACCCUGGUAGUCAAGGGCGAAUUCGC
rnacentral:rRNA from 1 species